UUAGGGUGCCUAUGGGGCUUAAUAGGGAAUCGGGUGGAAAUCCCGGACAGUUCCCGCUGCUGUAAACUCUUAAUUUUGUCAUUAUGCCACUGAAAAGCCUUGCUUUUUGGGAAGGCGGCGAAACCAAAGGAGUAAGUCAGAAGACCUGCCAAAAUUCGUA
rnacentral:ncRNA from 1 species